AACUGUCUACUGUCCCCCUGUAUUGAUUGACACUGGUUUCAUGUCUCGGUCUCCCUGUUGCAAAAAGCUAUUACAAAUAGAAGGUUAAUUUUUGACAUGCAAUUCCCUAAUCAUCCACUUGGGGUAAAAUGGAAGGUUGUGAAAGAUGUCCACUGUCGCUCUCUAUUGAUUGAUACUGGUUUCAUGUCUUUGUCUCCCUGAUGUAAAAAGUCAUUACAAAAAGAAGGUUAAUUUUGAACAUGCAAUACCCUUUUCUACCAGUAGGGGUAAAAUGGAAGGUUGUGAAAGAUGUCCACUGUCCCCGUCUAUUGAAUGCCACUGGUCUCAUGCCUCUGUCUCCCUGAUGUAAAAAGUUAUUACAAAAAGAAGGUUAAUUUUGGACAUGCAAUUCCCUAAUCAUCCACUUGGGGUAAAAUGGAAGGUUGUGAAAGAUGUCCACUGUUGCUCUCUACUGAUUGACCCUGGUUUCAUGUCUUUGUCUCCCUGAUGUAAAAAGUUAUUACAAAAAGAAGGUUAAUUUUGAACAUGCAAUACCCAAAUCAUACACUUGGGGUAAAAUGGAAGGUUGUGAAAAAUGUCCACUGUCCCCCUCUAUUGAUUGACACUGGUAUCAUGUCUCUAUCUUCCUGCUG